rnacentral:rRNA from 1 species
AACAUGGUCUUUUGUUUAUAUAAAAGAUCUGGCCUGCUCAGUGAUGUUUUAAAUAGCUGCAGUAUUUUGACUGUACAAAGGUAGCAUAAUCAUUUGUCUUUUAAUUGAGGUCUGGAAUGAAUGGUUUGAUGAAAAAUAUACUUUAUUUAUUUUAAAUAGAAAACUUAAUUUUUAAGUUAAAAAGCUUGGAAAUUUUUUUAUAGGACGAGAAGACCCUAUAGAGCUUUAUUUAUAUAUUUUUAUAUUUUUUUAGGUUAUAUAUUUAUAUUAAAAAUAUAUAAAUUUUGUUGGGGUGACAAAAAAAAUAUUAUAACUUUUUUUAAUUUUUACAUUUAUAUUAAUGUAUUUUUGAUCCUUUUUUUGGAAAAAAGAAUAAGCUACCUUAGGGAUAACAGCGUUAUUAUUUUGGAGAGUUCAUAUUGAUGAAAUAGUUUGCGACCUCGAUGUUGGAUUAAAAUAAGGUAUAGGGGUAAAAAAUUAUAUCCUUGGUCUGUUCGACCUUUAAAUUUUUACAUG